UACAGAGGGUGCGAGCGUUAAUCGGAAUUACCGGGCGUAAAGGGCGCGUAGGCGGUGUAUUAAGUUAGAUGUGAAAUCCCUGGGCUUAACCUAGGAACUGCAUUUAAUACUGGUACGCUAGAGUGCAGUAGAGGAUAGUGGAAUUUCCGGUGUAGCGGUGAAAUGCGUAGAUAUCGGAAGGAACACCAGUGGCGAAGGCGGCUAUCUGGACUGACACUGACGCUGAGGCGCGAGAGCGUGGGGAGCAAACAGG
rnacentral:rRNA from 1 species